rnacentral:rRNA from 2 species
UUUUAUGGAGAGUUUGAUCCUGGCUCAGGAUGAACGCUGGCGGCGUGCCUAAUACAUGCAAGUCGAGCGAACGGACGAGAAGCUUGCUUCUCUGAUGUUAGCGGCGGACGGGUGAGUAACACGUGGAUAACCUACCUAUAAGACUGGGAUAACUUCGGGAAACCGGAGCUAAUACCGGAUAAUAUUUUGAACCGCAUGGUUCAAAAGUGAAAGACGGUCUUGCUGUCACUUAUAGAUGGAUCCGCGCUGCAUUAGCUAGUUGGUAAGGUAACGGCUUACCAAGGCAACGAUGCAUAGCCGACCUGAGAGGGUGAUCGGCCACACUGGAACUGAGACACGGUCCAGACUCCUACGGGAGGCAGCAGUAGGGAAUCUUCCGCAAUGGGCGAAAGCCUGACGGAGCAACGCCGCGUGAGUGAUGAAGGUCUUCGGAUCGUAAAACUCUGUUAUUAGGGAAGAACAUAUGUGUAAGUAACUGUGCACAUCUUGACGGUACCUAAUCAGAAAGCCACGGCUAACUACGUGCCAGCAGCCGCGGUAAUACGUAGGUGGCAAGCGUUAUCCGGAAUUAUUGGGCGUAAAGCGCGCGUAGGCGGUUUUUUAAGUCUGAUGUGAAAGCCCACGGCUCAACCGUGGAGGGUCAUUGGAAACUGGAAAACUUGAGUGCAGAAGAGGAAAGUGGAAUUCCAUGUGUAGCGGUGAAAUGCGCAGAGAUAUGGAGGAACACCAGUGGCGAAGGCGACUUUCUGGUCUGUAACUGACGCUGAUGUGCGAAAGCGUGGGGAUCAAACAGGAUUAGAUACCCUGGUAGUCCACGCCGUAAACGAUGAGUGCUAAGUGUUAGGGGUUUCCGCCCCUUAGUGCUGCAGCUAACGCAUUAAGCACUCCGCCUGGGGAGUACGACCGCAAGGUUGAAACUCAAAGGAAUUGACGGGGACCCGCACAAGCGGUGGAGCAUGUGGUUUAAUUCGAAGCAACGCGAAGAACCUUACCAAAUCUUGACAUCCUUUGACAACUCUAGAGAUAGAGCCUUCCCCUUCGGGGGACAAAGUGACAGGUGGUGCAUGGUUGUCGUCAGCUCGUGUCGUGAGAUGUUGGGUUAAGUCCCGCAACGAGCGCAACCCUUAAGCUUAGUUGCCAUCAUUAAGUUGGGCACUCUAAGUUGACUGCCGGUGACAAACCGGAGGAAGGUGGGGAUGACGUCAAAUCAUCAUGCCCCUUAUGAUUUGGGCUACACACGUGCUACAAUGGACAAUACAAAGGGCAGCGAAACCGCGAGGUCAAGCAAAUCCCAUAAAGUUGUUCUCAGUUCGGAUUGUAGUCUGCAACUCGACUACAUGAAGCUGGAAUCGCUAGUAAUCGUAGAUCAGCAUGCUACGGUGAAUACGUUCCCGGGUCUUGUACACACCGCCCGUCACACCACGAGAGUUUGUAACACCCGAAGCCGGUGGAGUAACCUUUUAGGAGCUAGCCGUCGAAGGUGGGACAAAUGAUUGGGGUGAAGUCGUAACAAGGUAGCCGUAUCGGAAGGUGCGGCUGGAUCACCUCCUUUCUAA